GAACAUUCAUUCUAGAGAAAAGAAUCCCUCGAGCUAGGGCUUAUUCAAGUGAGAAGAGGAGAACUCCACUGGAUGCGCGCCACUUACCUGAAGACGUGACCAGAACCAAGCUCGCGAUCUGCCCGGAGCCGGAGAAGAUGACUCGCGAUCUGACUAGAGCUGCCACGUAGAGGGGAUCAAACGGUUGGAAAGAUGAUGAAGGUUGGCUGUCCGAUUGCGAAAAGGAAGCGUCGAGAGCAAGUUUCCUCUUUCCCUUUUUCCCUUUCAUUUUAUUUUUCUUUUGUUUUCUUCAGACCCUAUAAAAAGGGUGCUCUUCCAUGUAAGUAGAACACUUUACAAAACUCUCAGACAUUCUCUGCAAUUUUACAUUUCGUUCUAUAGUUU
rnacentral:lncRNA from 1 species